rnacentral:rRNA from 1 species
CUUAGCAUAUCAAUAAGCGGAGGAAAAGAAACCAACAGGGAUUGCCCUAGUAACGGCGAGUGAAGCGGCAACAGCUCAAAUUUGAAAUCUGGCUCUUUCAGAGUCCGAGUUGUAAUUUGCAGAGGGCGCUUUGGCUUUGGCAGCGGUCCAAGUUCCUUGGAACAGGACGUCACAGAGGGUGAGAAUCCCGUACGUGGUCGCUAGCUAUUGCCGUGUAAAGCCCCUUCGACGAGUCGAGUUGUUUGGGAAUGCAGCUCUAAAUGGGAGGUAAAUUUCUUCUAAAGCUAAAUAUUGGCCAGAGACCGAUAGCGCACAAGUAGAGUGAUCGAAAGAUGAAAAGCACUUUGGAAAGAGAGUCAAACAGCACGUGAAAUUGUUGAAAGGGAAGCGCUUGCAGCCAGACUUGCUUGCAGUUGCUCAUCCGGGCUUUUGCCCGGUGCACUCUUCUGUAGGCAGGCCAGCAUCAGUUUGGGCGGUGGGAUAAAGGUCUCUGUCACGUACCUCUCUUCGGGGAGGCCUUAUAGGGGAGACGACAUACCACCAGCCUAGACUGAGGUCCGCGCAUCUGCUAGGAUGCUGGCGUAAUGGCUGUAAGCGGCCCGUCUUGAAACACGGACCAAGGAGUCUAACAUCUAUGCGAGUGUUUGGGUGUCAAGCCCGAGCGCGUAAUGAAAGUGAACGGAGGUGGGAACCCGCAAGGGUGCACCAUCGACCGAUCCUGAAGUUUACGGAAGGAUUUGAGUAAGAGCAUGGCUGUUGGGACCCGAAAGAUGGUGAACUAUGCUUGAAUAGGGUGAAGCCAGAGGAAACUCUGGUGGAGGCUCGCAGCGGUUCUGACGUGCAAAUCGAUCGUCAAAUUUGGGCAUAGGGGCGAAAGACUAAUCGAACUAUCUAGUAGCUGGUUCCUGCCG